AUACGGAGGGUGCGAGCGUUAAUCGGAAUUACGGGGCGUAAAGCGCGCGUAGGCGGCUUAUUAAGUCAGAUGUGAAAUCCCCGGGCUCAACCUGGGAACUGCAUCUGAUACUGGUAAGCUAGAGUUUUGGAGAGGGAAGUAGAAUUUCAGGUGUAGCGGUGAAAUGCAUAGAGAUCUGAAGGAAUACCAGUGGCGAAGGCGACUUCCUGGCCAAAAACUGACGCUGAGGUGCGAAAGCGUGGGUAGCAAACGGGAUUAGAAACCCUUGUAGUCC
rnacentral:rRNA from 1 species